UGCCUGUCCCAGAUCUGGGGCCAGGGUUCCUGUCCCUGCAGUGUGGGGUCUGAGGACAGCACCUUCCCCGGGGACAAAGCUGGCCCAGGGGACAUCGUCGGUGGUGAAGGCAAAGCAGAUGGUGCACCCAGAUUUGCCCUGUGCGGGCUGGUUUUGAACGGCUCUGAGAAAGCAGCCGGUGCUCAGGAGAGCAAAAAGGCUGAGAUUCCCUGUGACAGCUGCCUGGCCGAGGAGGGGGCGGUGGAGACGUCCUGCCUUGCCUGCCGGGAGCAUCGCCAGGCUGCCCCGGGGAGCAGUGAGCUGCACCUGCAGCCCCUCCGAGGACGCCGAGCUGCCAACCCGCGGGUUAGAGCCCUUAACUCUAGAACCAGAAACCUGGUCAUGAGGGAACAGCCUGGGAUGAGAUUCUUCAGACCUACCCAGAGUAUGACUGGAAGCUGAAAUCUCUCGAGAAAGCAAUUCUCAAAGUACAGAAUAACACCCACUCUAGCACGGAGUGCUGUGAAUUCAGGAAGAGCUCCAGGGUGGAUGCUUCUCCCCAUGUUUACAUCAGGCUGAAGGACAAACUGUCUCAAAUCAGCAUGUGAUGCAGAGCUGGAGACAACAAAAAAGUGACCAGCACUGCUCCAUGGGAACAGCCUUACCCAGAUCAUCGUGGAAGACUGGAACACUGGCAUCAAGUGCCGUCUGACAAGAGUUUGUACUUCACCUGCUACUAUUUUGAGCUUGAGAUACCUGGGGCUGAUAUUUACCUUGGCAUGACGUACAGAAGCAUUGACCAGACAGGUUCAGAAAGCAACUGCUGCACCGUGGGGAACUGCUGGAACAUCCUGCAGAAGGGGAAAGGGUUUUCUGCAUGGCACAGCGAUGUGGACGUGCCCCUCAAACUGGAUGUGUUUGGUAGGAUGGGGGCCUACCCGAACUACCCUUGCAGAACCUAGUCAUUUUACAGGGUCACCUAUGAUGACGUGACCUUGAUGCACCAGCCUGAAUAUGAUUUUGCUGAGCCGCUCAACCCCAACUUUUGGCUUUUAAAGAAAGAAAACUGUCAGGAUAAUGCGGCUGGGGGAAUAAGCUGAGAAGAUCCCAGUGUCCUUGCGUUACUUUGGGGAGCUACGCUCUUGAAAGCAUCUGAGUCAGAAGAACUGGCCAGUGCUUAGUUUAUGGUGUGAUGCCAAUGCUUUUGCCACAGGUAACUGGCUGAAGAAGGGAGAGAUGUUUCAAUAACGACUCUUGUAAUCAAAUGUGGUUCUGAGAAUUCUAUAUUUUAGAGAUGGGAAAGGCUUGAGAGUUCAUGCAGCUGCUUGUCCAGCGGUCAGUGCAGGUUGUUCCCAGCAGUAUAUCCACUAAUAUUUUGUUUAGUACAUGUUAAAGCCUUUUUCAUUUUG